GAGUAGCAGAGAUAUUGAUGCGACUCAAUCAGAAGAUACAUGGCUAAAUACUCCACAUGAAAUCAUAUAUAGCCAUGUGUUUUUGAUUGAGCCGCGUCAAUAUCUCUCUCUUUUUC
rfam:Ipomoea nil DNA, scaffold: scaffold2704, cultivar: Tokyo-kokei standard.